UACGUAGGGGGCAAGCGUUGUCCGGAAUCAUUGGGCGUAAAGAGCGUGUAGGCGGCCAGAUAAGUCCGCUGUGAAAUCUCGAGGCUCAACUUCGAGCUGUCGGUGGAAACUGUCCGGCUAGAGUCCGGAAGAGGAGAAUGGAAUUCCUGGUGUAGCGGUGAAAUGCGCAGAUAUCAGGAAGAACACCGGUGGCGAAGGCGGGUCUCUGGGCCGUAACUGACGCUGAGGAGCGAAAGCGUGGGGAGCGAACAGG
rnacentral:rRNA from 1 species